AACGAACGCUGGCGGCAGGCUUAACACAUGCAAGUCGAACGCCCCGCAAGGGGAGUGGCAGACGGGUGAGUAACGCGUGGGAUUCUACCCAUCUCUACGGAAUAACUCAGGGAAACUUGUUCUAAUACCGUAUACGCCCUACGGGGGAAAGAUUUAUCGGAGAUGGAUGAGCCCGCGUUGGAUUAGCUAGUUGGUGGGGUAAAGGCCUACCAAGGCGACGAUCCAUAGCUGGUCUGAGAGGAUGAUCAGCCACAUUGGGACUGAGACACGGCCCAAACUCCUACGGGAGGCAGCAGUGGGGAAUAUUGGACAAUGGGCGCAAGCCUGAUCCAGCCAUGCCGCGUGAGUGAUGAAGGUCUUAGGAUUGUAAAGCUCUUUCACCGGUGAAGAUAAUGACGGUAACCGGAGAAGAAGCCCCGGCUAACUUCGUGCCAGCAGCCGCAGUAA
rnacentral:rRNA from 1 species